GAGCGACCGGUGCUUGCACUGGUCAAUCUAGUGGCGAACGGGUGAGUAACACGUGGGUAACCUGCCCAUCAGAGGGGGAUAACAUUCGGAAACGGAUGCUAAAACCGCAUAGGUCUUCGAACCGCAUGGUUUGAAGAGGAAAAGAGGCGCAAGCUUCUGCUGAUGGAUGGACCCGCGGUGCAUUAGCUAGUUGGUGAGGUAACGGCUCACCAAGGCCGUGAUGCAUAGCCGACCUGAGAGGGUGAUCGGCCACAUUGGGACUGAGACACGGCCCAAACUCCUACGGGAGGCAGCAGUAGGGAAUCUUCCGCAAUGGACGCAAGUCUGACGGAGCAACGCCGCGUGAGUGAAGAAGGUUUUCGGAUCGUAAAACUCUGUUGUUAGAGAAGAACAAGUGCUAGAGUAACUGUUAGCGCCUUGACGGUAUCUAACCAGAAAGCCACGGCUAACUACGUGCCAGCAGCCGCGGUAAUACGUAGGUGGCAAGCGUUGUCCGGAUUUAUUGGGCGUAAAGCGAGCGCAGGCGGUUCCUUAAGUCUGAUGUGAAAGCCCCCGGCUCAACCGGGGAGGGUCAUUGGAAACUGGGGAACUUGAGUGCAGAAGAGGAGAGUGGAAUUCCAUGUGUAGCGGUGAAAUGCGUAGAUAUAUGGAGGAACACCAGUGGCGAAGGCGACUCUCUGGUCUGUAACUGACGCUGAGGCUCGAAAGCGUGGGUAGCAAACAGGAUUAGAUAACCUGGUAGUCCACGCCGUAAACGAUGAGUGCUAAGUGUUGGAGGGUUUCCGCCCUUCAGUGCUGCAGUUA
rnacentral:rRNA from 1 species